rnacentral:misc_RNA from 1 species
CCCCCCUCCCUUCAACAGGUUUCUUUCUUUCUCUCUUUUAUCGGUGAAUUGAUAUGAAAAAUUGAAAAUUUGGCUGCAACUUCAAUUAGCAAAACCCUCAUUCACGAAAUAACAAUGGAUUAACACCUCUUUAAAACCCCUCCAAAAAUUCCCUUAUAAUGGCUGAAACUGCAGCUUCUUCGCCUAAACCUAUCCCGUCUCCAAAUCCGAUGGACCCAUCACCACCACCUCCUCAACCGCAACCACAAUCACAACCACCGCCCACGGCUUUAACAAACUCGAACUCCAACACCACACCUCUAACACCACCACAACCACAAGUACCAACACCAACAACUACCAUGUCAAAUUUACCUCAAAAUCCACAAAUGGCAUCUGCUUCUCUUGACCCACAAAUUUCAUCGCCUCCUCUUCCCUCUCAACAGCAACAGCCAUCGAUUGUA